UACGAAGGGGGCUAGCGUUGUUCGGAAUUACUGGGCGUAAAGCGCGCGCAGGCGGCUAUCCAAGUCAGUGGUGAAAGCCCGGAGCUCAACUCCGGAACUGCCAUUGAAACUGUGAGACUGGAGUACGAGAGAGGUGAGUGGAAUUCCCAGUGUAGAGGUGAAAUUCGUAGAUAUUGGGAAGAACACCAGUGGCGAAGGCGGCUCACUGGCUCGUAACUGACGCUCAGGCGCGACAGCGUGGGGAUCAAACAGG
rnacentral:rRNA from 1 species